UACACAAUUUCGCACAACCGUCGUAAAGUUACGUAAUUCACUUCCAAUUUCAGUCACUCUUGGCAAUGAUCGAACUUUCUGUAUGGCAGCCCUUUAAUUUGCAGCAGUAAAUCUGAUGGCCAAACGCGUCUUCUAACGCCUCGAUGAUCUCUUUAGGGUAACAGCAGGUUUGCAGCUGGUAUUCAAUGACUGUUUUUAAAGCAAGGUACCACUGGUUGUUACAAAAAUACUAGAAAAAAAACCCUACCCCUUCCCAAUUCACAGUAGGAGAUGGUAUCACGAGUAAUACUAUGGGUUUUCAUCGGUUUAAAACAAGAUUGCUCCUCAUAUUAUAUUUACUUCGAAUUUACAUCAAAAAUACAGAAUGAUUGAAAACAUUAUAGCAAAAAGUUAUUGGGAAGUCGACGAUCCCUAUGUAAAUUAUCGAUUCUGCAAAAUUGCAUUUUGCACAUGCAAUACUUUACGUAGGAACCGUGGAAUAAACAUCGCUUGUUUAGUAUUAAAUACCAUGGCGAUAAGCACUUCGAUCCUUAUUGUCUUAAACAAAUGCAGUUCAUUUUCAUAAGGACCGUUUAAAUAUCGACAGUUUCUACGCAAAGUAUUGAAUCUACAAAAUGCAAUUUUGCAGAUUCGAUAUUAUACAUAGGGACCGUCGAAGUAUAAUAUUCAUAGAAGUAAUUUCUAUUAACAUUAAAGCAUAAAAUAUAUUACAUUUCGAGCAUUUAACGAAUGUCAAGUUCCUACAACCAAAAUACAUUUAGAAACUUGCUAUCUCCAGCUUUAACUCUUGCCGCCUUAUUACAAAAACAUAGCUUAGUACUGGGUUUAAACCAAGACUAAAAAGUCUAGGUUUGUUACGGUAUUAACGUUAGUUCUUGGACUAAAAUUCAUUCUUAUUACAAAUCCAAGACCAACUGAGGAUUAUCUAGUACCAAAGAUAGUCCCUGGUUUAAUUAAUAUCCACAGAUUAUAGGCAAAAAAUUACAGUGAUCCAUUUAUUCAUUCACUCGGCGAUUGCCGCAGCGUUCCUUUACACAUAAGCUUGUAUGAAUGGAAGGGCAAAAUGUGUAAUAAAAUGUGAUUUUGAUGAUGAUGAUGAUAAUGCUAAUUAUAUACUAUUUUGUCAUUUAAAUAUAUCUUAAAGCUGAAUAAUUGUAAUUGGCAUGAAUUAUAUUUUUGAUUCAUUGCUUACUUUGUAUUUAGCUAGCGUAUAACGGAAUGAAGUGUGCGGCGCGCGUACUUGAAUAUUAUCGAAAAGUUUACAUAGAAGUUUAUUUAUGGUUCUAUUUAAUAGCACUUAAAGUAACAUAAAGCACCGUUGUUCGUUUAUAACUAUUUAGGCACAGCAACAGCGUUAUAAGUGCAUUUGUUUUAGUUGUGUAAUCACGUACGCAACGUAUACUUAUAUCGUUAGUUAUUCCAAUUGAAAAUGGAACAAUCAAAGAAAAAAAGGGGUGAAAGUUGGACUUUUGAAGAAAAGGUUAGUUCAAAUCAAUUAUCUUGUUAAUAAACAAUGCAAUAAAGCAGAAUUUUAUUCAAUUAAUACGACUUUCCUUCUUAUUCUAGGAAAUACUACGUCAACUUAUUUCGGAGUCAGCUCACAUAUUAGAAAAUAAAUCAACUAAGACGAAUACCAAUAUGUUGAAAUCCAAAGAAUGGAAAAAUAUAACAAAUAAUUGAACUGAACGAACUUAUGGGAAGAAAUCGAACUAAU
rnacentral:lncRNA from 1 species